GUGCCAGCAGCCGCGGUAAUACGUAGGAUGCUAGCGUUGUCCGGAUUUACUGGGCGUAAAGAGCGCGCAGGCGGCACCCUAAGUACUUUGUGAAAUCCACCUGCUCAACGGGUGGGGUGCAGGGUAAACUGGGGAGCUAGAGAGCGGUAGAGGGGGGUAGAAUUGCUGGUGUAGCGGUGAAAUGCGUAGAGAUCAGCAGGAAUACCCGUGGCGAAGGCGGCCCCCUGGGCCGUAUCUGACGCCGAGGCGCGAAGGCUAGGGGAGCGAACGGGAUUAGAAACCCUCGUAGUCC
rnacentral:rRNA from 1 species